ensembl:lncRNA
GGACUCGAGGCCGGCCAGAUGUGGACUAUUCUAGUCUAGCUUUGGUCUUUGGAGAUUUAGAAUCUAGAUCCAUCGUCGGGUAAAAGCGGACCUGGAGUCUCCAGCUGAAGGAAUCCUGGAGUAUGAGAGUGAACGGAGCUCUGCGGCUUUGCUUUUUGUUGUUGGGACUAUGUCAGGCCUGCCGUGCCCGUCCACCUGGUGGUCCCUACACAACACGAGAGGUAGGUGAGGUCCCCGUGUCCCAGCUGAGGAUGCUCUCGCUGGGACUGGCUCACCUGCUGCAGGGGUUGGUGGAGAACGUGGAGCAGCUGGAGCUGCGGGGGAAGCUGGUGGCAGCAGGGCUGGACGAGGCUGCCGAGAGUCUCGAGAGCCUUCGCAAGCAGAGUUUACAGGCGGGACGGACUCACAGGCAGGCGAGGAAGGAUUUGCAGAUACUGACUGCGAGGGGGGACGGGCUGUGGAGGGCAGCCACAGAUCUACAGGAGGAGCUGGUGGAUGGGCAGAGGGAGCGGAAAGCCAUGCAGCGCCGCACAAACAGGAUCAUCCAGAAAGUUAAGAGCCGGACCGAGCCGAGGUCCGUGAAGGACAUCAUGGACCAACAGGCCCGGAGGCUCGCCACUCUUACCUCAGAGGUCUCAGCCCGAGACAGAAUGAUUGACAGGCGCCUGCGGCACAUCAACCAACUGGAGAAACGAAGCCUCCUUGCAGCACGGGGGGCGGAUUCAGUGCCUGAUGAGCACAGCUGUCUCAACACAGCCGCUCCGCCCGCAGGCCGCCGUGACAAAGGCUCUGUGAGGCUGACAAAACAACCUGCUCUGCAACAAACACAAAGACGUCCCACAAUCAACAGACGUGCCUGUCAAUGAGACAAAUACUCGUUUGGGUCGCUCUUUGACACCAACUCAGCAGUCACAAAAGAAAACCCGAUAAUAGGUUGUUAAUGAAGCUAUUGUCAGUGAAUCGUCUUGAAUAAAAUAAACACCUGUCUAAUAAAAAAAAAGGGUUCCUGCUCCUGAGUCGUCAUGUUGUGACUCCGACUUCCUCAAUGUUGUGGUUGACGAUGGUGACGAGAAACCUUUUGACUAACAAAACACGCAAACGUUUUCCUCACACUCAAAUCGUGGUGUAAUACUUUGAGAUGGCAUAACUAUUACACACGCACACGUCUCUCCUUGUUUCAGUCACUCUCAGCUGGGUCUAAGCCUUUAAAAAUGCUCCUCAUGUGAAGGGAAAGCUAUACAUGUAGUUUCAGAGAAAAAAAGAGCUUUGCAUUCAUUAUCCAAUACAUUUGACAUUUUCCCAGUUAUUUUUUAUAGCAAGUUUCAUCCACAGAAGCAACUCAAAUUCUGGACCAACAUGUGGACAAAAACAGAGACGGCCUUAUAGACUUUUCAGUCAGUUUGACAGGGAGGCCUCGAUUUAAUGUGGCCUGAACAUGGACCCGGCUGCUGUGUUUAUUUGGGGAAAAAUAAAAAUAUAUUAAAAAAAACGAUAUUUGUACAGCACAUGCAUGAAACCCUAACCCUAAUAACCAUACGCAUGUAUUCAGCUUGCUCGUCAGAGCUCUGCCCUUUACAUAAUAACAAAUGCUUACAUUCUUUGGUCAGAUUUCAAUGAGGUAUUUGUAGGGAGAAACAGCAAAUACCACCAUCAGCUCUGCACCCUCACAGCUGUGUUGCCACCAAAUGCGAAGGCGGUUGUGUGUUGAGUCUCCGCUGAUAUCUGAUGUCCUCGAGUCACCUUCCUGACGUCCAACUGGCAGGCAGCCGUCCCCUCUGGUUUUCUCAAAACAACUCAAACUUUGUCCCACUUACUAGAACGAACUGGGCAGUGUGGGCAAGGAGCGAGGACAGUAACAAAGCAUGGGAAUUAUUGUGAGGAGCAAAUACCAAAAGCAAGUGCAACGCAAAUCAGGAACCAGAACAACAAAUGGUUUAAAGUCAUGUGAAAUUAAUUCGUUAGGAUAGUAUACAGAAAUGUUGAUAUUUACAGGGGUUUUUUUUACAUUUUAUACAACUGCGUAUUUAUGUUGGGACCAAAGAGUCAAAGUAUUUGAAUUCAAACAUGACCAAUAAAGCCGAUUCUGAAGUGAUCCAUUUUGAAAGAGAGGGUCAAAGCUACAACGACACCCCCGAGAGGUCAAAGGGAAACACUGACAUGUUUGCUCUUAAAAUGUAUGAAAACUCAUUUAUAUGCUCAAAUUGCUCCCAUGCUUUAGCUCAUCACGCAGGUAAAGAAAAACAACAUACAGUCUCAUUGCCUCAAAGCAAUGCAUAUCUGGAUAAUGGUGCAUGCAUAAUAUCACACAUGUGCCACUCUGAAGCGAACACUGAUCUGCGUCCCUAUGAACAAGUGCGCAGAGAACAUUUAGAUGUGUCGUCACGGCUGUGAACAGUCGGAUCCACCGUCUCUCUUGUUGCAGCCCACUCCCUUCAUGCCCUCACAACAUGCAGCAUGUGUUUAAUUUAUAUACCAAUAUACCAAUUGUGUCUUUUUAAGUUUAUUUGAAUUCAACUAAGCAGAAGUGAGAGGAAGACAAAGGAAGAGGAAGCAGGGGAGAGAAACAUACAGUGGGACAAUGAGCAUGAGAAUACAUAUGCAUCAUGAGAUGUUACAAUCAGCCUUUUGUUUUUGUUCCAGCCAAUUGCUUGAUCUUUGAACUAAAAUAGGAAAUAAUCAGUCAAAAACAUGACAACUGUCAAGUCACUGAUCAUGUGAUCACAAUGACCCUGGGUCACGUUACUCGAGGAAGAAGCAUCCGCGUCCAGUACAUACAUCUGCAUCGGGGGAACUUUUGUAAAGUUGGGCCUCUGAUUUUACUGCAGGGUCUGCAGUCCGUCCGCUCUGUCCUGCUGCGGCUUCUCCGGUUCCCUCCUUCCAUCUAUCGGGUCGCCAUGGUGCCAG